CUGGGCCCAGGGUGAUGGCUCAGCUUUAUCUCAGCUAAGGUAGCAUAAGCUGCUGACCAUCAGGAGGGUUUUGAAGACAAGUACCAAGGAAGGAGUUGUGUUCCUGAGCAGAACUUUGCACGAGGACUCCAUUAUAUGUUUUGGUUCGUUAUCUCCUGACAUAACAGUUCUGUUGGCCCAGGAUGUGGUUUAUCUUAUCACAUAGAGAUGAUACCCUGUCAAGAUAUGCUCCAGUUUCUGGGAACAAUUGUUCUAUUGUGCUUGGAGAAUGCCUGGGACAACAUGCUAUUGCCCACUGGCAGAGCCUUACAGAAAUGUAGUCUGAAGGCUGAGAAAGACACCUGAACAUGAGUUUUGUAAAUUUGCUAAAGAGCCCCAAAGCGACAGAGGGUCUUGAGAUGAAGCUUCGGGUGCCAUCCCUUGAACUCAGUCAGCUAAGCAGUAUCUUUCACAAGAAGAUAAGAGCUGGGGAAGUCUCCUUAGCAGUGGGAUGCAACAGCAGGCAACUGUGCUGAUGGCUGUCCUUAACAGGGUUGUUUGGAACGGUCCCCUUGGUGCCCCCACAGCUUGUUGUAGAAGUUUUGUCUUCACCAUUCCACCUAAUCAGAAUUUGUUAUCAUCAUUUGUCUCCGUUGUGUCUUUGUUUCUCA
rnacentral:lncRNA from 1 species